rnacentral:lncRNA from 1 species
UCAAUGGUGUAUUAGGUAUUUUGGUGAGUAAUUUUUUAGUUCUCUAUAAACUAAUAUAGUUUAUGUAUCUGCAAAAUCAUGUUAGAAUUUUAAAUUCUUAAAAUUCUAGCGCUUAUAAAUAAAGGAAGAACAUUGUGUUCUUGGAUCUAAACUUAUGUCAAGAUGGAGAAACUCAAAUUCUCUCACUAUUCGGUAACUUUAAAGUGAGACUCAAGUAUAAAAGGCGAGUAUACUCCGAAUGAUAUAGGUCAUGAUCAUAAAGUUUUGAAUCCCAGAGACAUUUGAGAUAUUAUUUAAGAUGACACAAUUUUUGUCAUAUUUUCUUUGCUUAAAUUAAAGU